AUGGAGUGGAGCGGCCGCUUGGGCAGGCAUUCGCACGAAGUGUGGUUGAUGAAGGUCACCAUGACGACGGAGCGAUCCAUCCUGGGUGGGGACAGCUCCAUCAGCUGGCAGCGAGAAGGGUAACGGGCAAAGCACUUACCGACAACUGUAAAAUAAAUUAUGGGGAACUGGACUGACAGGCGGGAAUAGAAGAAGCCAAAGAGAGAGACGAGACGGCCGACGAGGAGGGAGAAAGAGAUUUUAGCCUCGGUUUGGACAGUGUGCUGUAAAUCGUCAUGGCCUGAGGGCAGAAGAACAACAUGGUUGAUGACAGUCGACCGUAUGAGUGCAUCUUACCUGCAUCUGCAUAGACUCUUUAACACGAGGUGGGAGUUGAAUGUCUUUGAUUUCAUAACGCAGGCAGCGGAUUCCCCACUCGUCUGACGCCUGGUUGAUGGCGUGGACGAUGUUCAAAUUAAGAGACUCCCUUUCCUGGAAAACCAGAGAGGCAGCACAAUUAAGGCCUCCUGCUGCGGCACAAACAGCACCACGGUGUUCAUGGGUAACCGGGAGGCCCAUCGCUGCUGGACUGGACUCGCCCACAACCUGGGAGCUGUACGCUGGGAGCUCUGCACACACAGUCCAUGUGCCACACUUCAGAGGAAACACACCUGUCCUGCUCUAAUUACAGUCUGCUGGUGAUUCAGAGCUCCGUCCUCCAACAGACAUGUUUUACAUGAUCCGGCUGACACAGCGCUAGAGAUAACUCUGACCAUGCGAGACCAGGCUGAACAAGACAUAUAGGCCUCCUAAACUGGACGAUCCCAGCUGCAUCCUCAGCCCUCAUAAGAUGCUGAUUGUGCCCAAAGUGCUGCAGGCCUUCUGGCUUCAUGAAAUUACUGCAGUCCAGUGACAUGACAGACAAUCUUGUCUCUUUGACAAAUGAUGAGCAGCAAUGACUGCAACAUCUGGGAUCAAAGAGUGUGAUAUCCUCAAUGCAAAUAAGGUAAAGAUGUGAUGAAAAGACUUUAUUACUACACAGCUGAUGGAGAUUCUUUAAUUAUGAGUGAAUAUUUUCAUCCUGCUGUCUGAGCAGAAUAAAUACUGCAUCAUGUAUAAGCCUUUUUACAGUAAUGUUAGUGGAAAAUAGUCCUAAAGUGGACUUCAUUCAUGUCUAAAAUUUUCCUUGGAGUUUUGAUUUACCUGCGAAAUUACAUACAUAAUACCAUUUUCUGUUUUUUUUUAAAACAUAUUUAGUCAUAGUCAUUUAAGUAAGGUGCUACGUAGCCUCCAACACUCACCACAGUGUGCUUCUAUUCCAUCAUGUCACAAGUCAUAAUGAGGGAUACAUUUCUCUUUUAAUAAAACACAUUUUAACAA